rnacentral:rRNA from 1 species
GACGAACGCUGGCGGCGUGCUUAACACAUGCAAGUCGAACGGAAAGGCCCUGCUUUUGUGGGGUGCUCGAGUGGCGAACGGGGGAGUAACACGUGAGUAACCUGCCCUUGACUUAGGGAUAAAUUCAGGAAACUGGGGCUAAUACCGGAUAGGAGAUCCUGCUCCAUGGGGGGGGUUGGAGAGUUUCGGCGGUUGGGGCUGGACUCGCGGGUUAUGGGCUUGUUGGUGAGGUAGUGGAUUACCAAGGCUUUGACGGGUAGUCGGCCUGAGCGAGUGACCAGCCACAUUGGGACUGAGAUAGGGCCCAGACUGCUACGGGAGGCAGAAGUGGGGAAUAUUGCACAAUGGGCGGAAGCCUGAUGCAGCAACGCCGCGUGCGGGAUGACGGCCUUCGGGUUGUAAACCGCUUUCGCCUGUGACGAAGCGGUAGUGACGGUAAUGGGUAAAGAAGCACCGGCUAACUACGUG